rnacentral:rRNA from 1 species
GGGUUGUGAGGUUAAGCGACUAAGCGUACACGGUGGAUGCCCUGGCAGUCAGAGGCGAUGAAGGGCGUGCUAAUCUGCGAUAAGCGCCGGUAAGGUGAUAUGAACCGUUAUAACCGGCGAUACCCGAAUGGGGAAACCCAGUGUGACUCGUCACACUAUCAUUAACUGAAUCCAUAGGUUAAUGAGGCGAACCGGGGGAACUGAAACAUCUAAGUACCCCGAGGAAAAGAAAUCAACCGAGAUUCCCCCAGUAGCGGCGAGCGAACGGGGAGGAGCCCAGAGCCUGAAUCAGCAUGUGUGUUAGUGGAAGCGUCUGGAAAGGCGCGCGAUACAGGGUGACAGCCCCGUACACAAAAGCGCAUGUGUUGUGAGCUCGAUGAGUAGGGCGGGACACGUGGUAUCCUGUCUGAAUAUGGGGGGACCAUCCUCCAAGGCUAAAUACUCCUGACUGACCGAUAGUGAACCAGUACCGUGAGGGAAAGGCGAAAAGAACCCCGGCGAGGGGAGUGAAAAAGAACCUGAAACCGUGUACGUACAAGCAGUGGGAGCCCCACCACUAAGCCAGUGGUGAACUCCACAUACGCAUCCUUUGCUGAGGAUACGGUUAACGGAGCGAAAGCGACGUUCAACCGCAAAAGAAGCAGAGGGGGCUUAGUGGUGGGGUGACUGCGUACCUUUUGUAUAAUGGGUCAGCGACUUAUAUUCUGUAGCAAGGUUAACCGUAUAGGGGAGCCGUAGGGAAACCGAGUCUUAACCGGGCGUUAAGUUGCAGGGUAUAGACCCGAAACCCGGUGAUCUAGCCAUGGGCAGGUUGAAGGUUGGGUAACACUAACUGGAGGACCGAACCGACUAAUGUUGAAAAAUUAGCGGAUGACCUGUGGCUGGGGGUGAAAGGCCAAUCAAACCGGGAGAUAGCUGGUUCUCCCCGAAAGCUAUUUAGGUAGCGCCUCGUGAAUUCAUCUCCGGGGGUAGAGCACUGUUUCGGCUAGGGGGCCAUCCCGGCUUACCAACCCGAUGCAAACUGCGAAUACCGGAGAAUGUUAUCACGGGAGACACACGGCGGGUGCUAACGUCCGUCGUGAAGAGGGAAACAACCCAGACCGCCAGCUAAGGUCCCAAAGUCAUGGUUAAGUGGGAAACGAUGUGGGAAGGCCCAGACAGCCAGGAUGUUGGCUUAGAAGCAGCCAUCAUUUAAAGAAAGCGUAAUAGCUCACUGGUCGAGUCGGCCUGCGCGGAAGAUGUAACGGGGCUAAACCAUGCACCGAAGCUGCGGCAGCGACACUCAGGUGUUGUUGGGUAGGGGAGCGUUCUGUAAGCCUGUGAAGGUGUGUCGUGAGGCAUGCUGGAGGUAUCAGAAGUGCGAAUGCUGACAUAAGUAACGAUAAAGCGGGUGAAAAGCCCGCUCGCCGGAAGACCAAGGGUUCCUGUCCAACGUUAAUCGGGGCAGGGUGAGUCGAACCCUAAGGCGAGGCCGAAAGGCGUAGUCGAUGGGAAACGGGUUAAUAUUCCCGUACUUGGUGUUACUGCGAAGGGGGGACGGAGAAGGCUAUGUUGGCCGGGCGACGUUUGUCCCGGUUUAAGCGUGUAGGUGUGUGUUCCAGGUAAAUCCGGUUCACUUUAACACUGAGGCGUGAUGACGAGGCACUACGGUGCUGAAGCAACAAAUGCCCUGCUUCCAGGAAAAGCCUCUAAGCAUCAGGUAACAUCAAAUCGUACCCCAAACCGACACAGGUGGUCAGGUAGAGAAUACCAAGGCGCUUGAGAGAACUCGGGUGAAGGAACUAGGCAAAAUGGUGCCGUAACUUCGGGAGAAGGCACGCUGACACGUAGGUGAAGUGAUUUACUCAUGGAGCUGAAGUCAGUCGAAGAUACCAGCUGGCUGCAACUGUUUAUUAAAAACACAGCACUGUGCAAACACGAAAGUGGACGUAUACGGUGUGACGCCUGCCCGGUGCCGGAAGGUUAAUUGAUGGGGUCAGCGCAAGCGAAGCUCCUGAUCGAAGCCCCGGUAAACGGCGGCCGUAACUAUAACGGUCCUAAGGUAGCGAAAUUCCUUGUCGGGUAAGUUCCGACCUGCACGAAUGGCGUAAUGAUGGCCAGGCUGUCUCCACCCGAGACUCAGUGAAAUUGAACUCGCUGUGAAGAUGCAGUGUACCCGCGGCAAGACGGAAAGACCCCGUGAACCUUUACUAUAGCUUGACACUGAACAUUGAGCCUUGAUGUGUAGGAUAGGUGGGAGGCUUUGAAGCGUGGACGCCAGUCUGCGUGGAGCCGACCUUGAAAUACCACCCUUUAAUGUUUGAUGUUCUAACGUGGACCCGUAAUCCGGGUUGCGGACAGUGUCUGGUGGGUAGUUUGACUGGGGCGGUCUCCUCCUAAAGAGUAACGGAGGAGCACGAAGGUUGGCUAAUCCUGGUCGGACAUCAGGAGGUUAGUGCAAUGGCAUAAGCCAGCUUGACUGCGAGCGUGACGGCGCGAGCAGGUGCGAAAGCAGGUCAUAGUGAUCCGGUGGUUCUGAAUGGAAGGGCCAUCGCUCAACGGAUAAAAGGUACUCCGGGGAUAACAGGCUGAUACCGCCCAAGAGUUCAUAUCGACGGCGGUGUUUGGCACCUCGAUGUCGGCUCAUCACAUCCUGGGGCUGAAGUAGGUCCCAAGGGUAUGGCUGUUCGCCAUUUAAAGUGGUACGCGAGCUGGGUUUAGAACGUCGUGAGACAGUUCGGUCCCUAUCUGCCGUGGGCGCUGGAGAACUGAGGGGGGCUGCUCCUAGUACGAGAGGACCGGAGUGGACGCAUCACUGGUGUUCGGGUUGUCAUGCCAAUGGCACUGCCCGGUAGCUAAAUGCGGAAGAGAUAAGUGCUGAAAGCAUCUAAGCACGAAACUUGCCCCGAGAUGAGUUCUCCCUGAGACUUAGAGUCUCCUGAAGGAACGUUGAAGACGACGACGUUGAUAGGCCGGGUGUGUAAGCGCAGCGAUGCGUUGAGCUAACCGGUACUAAUGAACCGUGAGGCUUAACCUUACAACGCCGAAG